rnacentral:rRNA from 1 species
AACGAGACCUUAACCUGCUAAAUAGCCCGUAUUGCUUUGGCAGUACGCUGGCUUCUUAGAGGGACAUUCGGCUCAAUAAAUGUUAAUUUUCGUCGAAUAACAGGUAAGUGAUUGACGAAGAUGUUCUGGGCCGAACGCGAACUAAGCUGACGGAGCCAGAGAGUAAAAAAAAGAACGGAAGGUCCGGGUAAUCUGGGGAAACUC